AUUCGCUGUAAUCAGUUCUCCAGGGCAGGAAGGAAGCAUCAGCUCUUCCUCCAGAAAAGGAUGUCAGUUCAUGGGAACAAGUACCAAUAAGCACCAGGUGGUCUGAUGUGAUAAAUCCUCUCUGUCUUCAUGUGGAAAAGCCUCUCCCUUUCGGUUUAGAUCUCUUCUCCCAGGAAAGGGUCUGUCCAAGUCUUCUGGAGGCUCAGCAAAAGCAACCCCUAGCACACUCCUGGGUGCCUCCCUCCAAGCUGUGACAAGUCACAGUCUCCUAGUCUGCAGUCUUGCUGCUUCCUGCAGUUUGUUGCCUUGAUUUGAUCUUUCACCUACAUGUCAUUCCAGGACAUCUCAUUUCUGGAGAGCAACUGGAGGCUAAUUGGAGGGUCAACAGAGCUGGACUUUUAGGGUGAAAAGGGGGUAAGGGUGACUUAUCUUUCCAAACUUUAUAAUUGUACCAAAAAGGACUGGAUUUCUUGUUAAAAUCAAAGCACAUCCACAGUGAAAAAUAAACUUAUACUUAAAGUUUGACUAAA
rnacentral:lncRNA from 1 species